rfam:Pongo abelii chromosome 1.
GGAUGUGAGGGUGAUCUGGCUGCGGCACCUGUCACCACAUUGAUUGCCAGGGUUGAUUUGGCUGAUCUGGCUGACUAGGCGCGUGUCCCCUUCCUCCCUUGCUGCUCCAUGUGUGCUCCUCCUAAAGCUGUGCGCUUGAUUUAAGAGGACAACCAUCCCAGAUAGAGGAGGACUGGUCUCUGGUCAAGGGUAUAAGAGUAGCUACACUCCCCCGCUAGAACCUUCAAACAAGCUCUCAAGGUCCAUUUGUAGGAGAACGUAGGGUAGUCAAGCUUCCAAGACUCCAGACACAUCCAAAUGAGGUGCUGCCUUUCUUA